GGGCGAACCUGACUGAGCACGCCGCGGUGAGCGAAGAAGGUCUUCGGAUUGUAAAGCUCUGUUUGUUAAGGGAAGGAACAUCUAUGAGCAGGGAAUGCUCUCUAGAGUGACGGUUCUUAACUGAGGAAGCCCCGGCUAACUACUGUGCCAGCAGCCGCGGUAAUACGAAA
rnacentral:rRNA from 1 species